UACGUAGGGGGCAAGCGUUGUCCGGAAUGAUUGGGCGUAAAGGGCGCGUAGGCGGCCUUCUAAGUCCGAUGUGAAAGUCCUGCUUUUAAGGUGGGAAUUGCAUUGGAAACUGGAGGGCUUGAGUGCAGGAGAGGUAAGUGGAAUUCCCGGUGUAGCGGUGGAAAUGCGUAGAGAUCGGGAGGAACACCAGUGGCGAAGGCGACUUACUGGACUAUAACUGACGCUGAGGCGCGAAAGUGUGGGGAGCAAACAGGAUUAGAUACCCUGGUAGUCCACACUGUAAACGAUGAAUGCUAGGUGUAGGAGGUAUCGACCCCUUCUGUGCCGGAGUCAACACAAUAAGCAUUCCGCCUGGGGAGUACGGCCGCAAGGUUGAA
rnacentral:rRNA from 1 species